rnacentral:rRNA from 1 species
CGGGGUGCAGCAGGCGCGAAAACUUUACAAUGCGGGAAACCGUGAUAAGGGGACACCGAGUGCCAGCAUCAUAUGCUGGCUGUCCAGGUGUGUAAAAUACACCUGUCAGCAAGGGCCGGGCAAGACCGGUGCCAGCCGCCGCGGUAACACCGGCGGCCCGAGUGGUGAUCGUGAUUAUUGGGUCUAAAGGGUCCGUAGCCGGUUUGGUCAGUCCUCCGGGAAAUCUGACGGCUCAACCGUUAGGCUUUCGGGGGAUACUGCCAGGCUUGGAACCGGGAGAGGUAAGAGGUACUACAGGGGUAGGAGUGAAAUCUUGUAAUCCCUGUGAGACCACCUGUGGCGAAGGCGUCUUACCAGAACGGGUUCGACGGUGAGGGACGAAAGCUGGGGGCACGAACCGGAUUAGAUACCCGGGUAGUCCCAGCCGUAAACGAUGCUCGCUAGGUGUCAGGCAUGGCGCGACCGUGUCUGGUGCCGCAGGGAAGCCGUGAAGCGAGCCACCUGGGAAGUACGGCCGCAAGGCUGAAACUUAAAGGAAUG